rnacentral:rRNA from 1 species
AAGAACUAACCAGGAUUCCCUUGGUAACGGCGAGUGAAGAGGGAAGAGCCCAGCACCGAAGCCUGCGGUAGUUUUGCUGUUAGGCAAUGUGGUGUGUGGGUCGGCUCGCGGGACCAUCACUCCACUCGAAGUCCAGCAUUGAGUAUGGCAAUCACUGGAUUUGGCCCAUAGAGGGUGAGAGGCCCGUACGGGUGGAGGUUCAGACAUGUACGAUGGUUCACCAGGCCGGCCUCAGAGUCGGGUUGUUUGAGAUUGCAGCCCAAAGAGGGUGGUAAACUCCAUCCAAGGCUAAAUACUGCCACGAGUCCGAUAGCGAACAAGUACCAUGAGGGAAAGUUGAAAAGUACUCUGAAGAGAGAGUAAACAGUACGUGAAGCCGCAUGCAGGUAAACGGGUGGCGUCAAGCUGCGAGCCCGGAGGAUUCAGCUGACUGGGAUGUAGUGCACGCGCGCCUGGUGCGUCGAGAGGCCGGAGUAAGAUGUGGCGGUCCACUCCUCUGCUGGGAGUGGAGUGCGGUCGGUGUGCGCUUGCGUAUGCCGGUUGUCGCUAUGCAUGCCGGGUGGGUGCCGGAGCAUGCCGCUCGUCUGUUGGGCCACCUAGUUAGUGCAUUUUCUCCGUGGUGAACACCACGACCGGUGGAACUGCCAGUCUGCUGUGAUCAAGUCGUGUUCUCCUGGCGCGUUGCUGUGUUGGGUGGGCACGAUCGCAGACGGAGUCGGUGGACGGCGCAGUGGUGCUUCGGUACUGCCGCGUGUUAUCGUGCACUCUCCGUCGUAAGCGGUUAGUGGGGUUGACUAAGUGCUGUGACCUACUUUCCCGCUAGCCGGCGGAUCACAGUGGUGAAAGGGACUGUGCAGGGCACCGGAGUUGUCCAUCUCAUUCAAUAUGGUACUCGGCACGCACGUUACAGGUGUUAUAUACAAUCGGGAUGCGCCGCUGUCUGCCUGGUGUUGGGCCUGACUGUCGUGUUGCCUGCGAAAAGUGGGUCCGGCAGUGGUUUCGAUGCUUGGUAGUCGCAGUGUGUUGCGUAUCUCGGGUGUCUGUGGUACCGGGGAUGAAAUAGUCAGUGGUGCUGUGGUAGAC